CCUACGGGUGGCUGCAGUGAGGAAUAUUGGUCAAUGGGCGAGAGCCUGAACCAGCCAAGUCGCGUGAGGGAAGACGGCCCUAUGGAUUGUAAACUUCUUUUGUCGGGGAGCAAAAGACUCCACGUGUGGCCUUACCAGAGUUCCCGAAAAAAAAGCAAUCGGCUAACUCCGUGCCAGCAGCCGCGGUAAUACGGAGGAUGCAAGGGUUAUCCGGAUUUAUUGGGUUUAAGGGUUGCGUAGGCGGAAUAUCAAGUCAGCGGUAAAAAUGCGGGGCUCACCCCCGUCGGGCCGUUGAAACUGUUGUUCUUGAGUGGGUGAGAAGUAUGCGGAAUGCGUGGUGUAGCGGUGAAAUGCAUAGAUAUCACGCAGAACUCCGAUUGCGAAGGCAGCAUACCGGCGCCCAACUGACGCUGAAGCACGAAAGCGUGGGUAUCGAACAGGAUUAGAUACCCUUGUAGUC
rnacentral:rRNA from 1 species